GAUGAACGCUGGCGGCGUGCUUAACACAUGCAAGUCGAACGGAAAGGCCCAAGCUUGCUUGGGUACUCGAGUGGCGAACGGGUGAGUAACACGUGGGUGAUCUGCCCUGCACUUCGGGAUAAGCCUGGGAAACUGGGUCUAAUACUGGAUAGGACCACUUCUUGGAUGGUGUGGUGGAAAGUUUUUUCGGUGUGGGAUGAGCUCGCGGCCUAUCAGCUUGUUGGUGGGGUAAUGGCCUACCAAGGCGUCGACGGGUAGCCGGCCUGAGAGGGUGUACGGCCACAUUGGGACUGAGAUACGGCCCAGACUCCGACGGGAGGCAGCAGUGGGGAAUAUUGCACAAUGGGCGCAAGCCUGAUGCAGCGACGCCGCGUGGGGGAUGACGGCCUUCGGGUUGUAAACUCCUUUCGCUAGGGACGAAGCGUUUUUGUGACGGUACCUGGAGAAGAAGCACCGGCUAACUACGUG
rnacentral:rRNA from 1 species